rnacentral:rRNA from 1 species
UCCCAGACUCCUACGGGAGGCAGCAGUGGGGGAUAUUGCACAAUGGGGGAAACCCUGAUGCAGCGACGCCGCGUGGGUGAAGAAGCGCCUCGGCGCGUAAAGCCCUGUCAGCAGGGAAGAAAAUGACGGUACCUGAAGAAGAAGCCCCGGCUAACUACGUGCCAGCAGCCGCGGUAAUACGUAGGGGGCAAGCGUUAUCCGGAUUUACUGGGUGUAAAGGGAGCGUAGACGGUUAUGUAAGUCUGGAGUGAAAGCCCGGGGCCCAACCCCGGGACUGCUUUGGAACCUGUGUAACUAGAGUACAGGAGGGGCAGCCGGAAUUCCUGGUGUAGCGGUGAAAUGCUUAGAUAUCACGCAGACCCCCGAUUGCGAAGGCAGCAUGCCGGCUUCCGACUGACGCUGAAGCACGAAAGCGUGGGUAUCGAACAGGAUUAGAUCCCCUUGUAGG